GCUUAUUCCAACUGCGACCGACGAACAUGAAUGAACAAAUUCAAACUGAAAAACACUUACAAACCGAUGCUCACUUCCCACCAUCUUCACGACUUCAUAAUAACUCCAGUUACUACCUGAACUCCUCGUUUGCGCGCAUAGGAUUACUAACAACAUCACCGUGUUUUCGUGCUUUGUGGAAUUCAUCUUUUUCAAUCUGUUUCUUCAUGAAUUGUGUUCAUCAAUGGAUUUGUACUUGGAAUGUAGCCGUAAUCAAAACGAAUGAAUCACAACAAGGAGAAGAAAGAAGACUCACUAGAUUUUUGAGCUCAUACACGGUGGCUCUGUGCACCAGAGUGUAGAGAAGUUCACUGAAGAGUGCAACAUCUGAAUGAGAAUGAAGGAUUUUAAGAGUGAAGAAUGUAGGAUGCAAAAAAUGAAGAAUGCAUAAAUGCGUAGAAUGCAGAAAAGCCAAGAAUCCCGAAUCUGAACUGCAAUGAGGUUUUGGUUGGUGUGUUCUGCAUAAGUUGAACAAGUUGCAGGGUCAUAUGAGUUUCAGAGUUACGCAGGGCCAUGUGUUCAAUGAGUUGCUGAGUUUCCUGGAUGUGGAAUUUUCCUUUCAUGUGGAAUUUGCAGGAUGUUGGGCUGAAGAACUAGUUAUACCUAUGUGCAACUAACUUAGAAAACUAGGCUGGGAGAUUGUUAAUUUAGGUUUGGACAUUUGGUUUGUAAAAAUUGUAAAGGAAAGUUGUAGUUGAAACUUGAAUGUAUUGACUUGGAACUUGGUAAUUAUGAAAAGUUUGAUGGUUUGGAUGA